rnacentral:rRNA from 1 species
AUUGAACGCUGGCGGCAUGCUUUACACAUGCAAGUCGAACGGUAACAGGCCUUCGGGUGCUGACGAGUGGCGAACGGGUGAGUAAUGCAUCGGAACGUGCCCAGAGGUGGGGGAUAACGCAGCGAAAGCUGUGCUAAUACCGCAUGUGAUCUGAGGAUGAAAGCGGGGGACCAGGCAGCAAUGUUUGGCCUCGCGCCUUUGGAGCGGCCGAUGUCUGAUUAGGUAGUUGGUGGGGUAAAGGCCUACCUAGCCGACGAUCUGUAGCUGGUCUGAGAGGACGACCAGCCACACUGGGACUGAGACACGGCCCAGACUCCUACGGGAGGCAGCAGUGGGGAAUUUUGGACAAUGGGCGCAAGCCUGAUCCAGCAAUGCCGCGUGCGGGAAGAAGGCCUUCGGGUUGUAAACCGCUUUUGUACGGAACGAAAAGGCUCUGGCUAAUACCUGGGGCUGAUGACGGUACCGUAAGAAUAAGCACCGGCUAACUACGUG